CUUCUAAUUGCAAGAUCUGCAAUGUAGAUGGAUGACACCAGGAGCCACACACAAGCGCAUCAGCAUAAAGAAGAGGGCAAAUCAGAGACCCAUGUACAUUGGCGAGGCUGAGUAGGACACUCUAGUGGAGUACUGGGAAACAGAACCAGAAAAGAAGAAGAGAAAGAAUGCUAGAAACCACUUAUCUAAUCAUGAUGGCAUAGGGGUUCACAAGCAUUGUGUAUGUCCUCGACGUUUUUUGCAGAUUGAGCAUGAGAUGAUGAUUGAGUCUGGUUUGGAUGAAGCACCAGCCUUCACUGAUCUUGUGCGGAGGACACACUGACGCAAAGAUGGAAUUUUCACGGAAGUGCUGAUCUCUGUUUUGGAGACUAACUUCAAGCGACUCAACACCAAUGUUUAUGGUUAUAGACGA